UUAACUUUUACUGCUUUAUUCAGUAUAUAUAAACAGUAUAAACCAGUUGAAUCAACAGCUGGAAAGAGCUGAGAAGGAAAUAAGUACAUACACCAUGAACUUUAUUUUAAGUGCCUGUAUUUCUCAAAACUUUUCAAAAACAUAAAGCUGUUUUACAAAAAAGAAAAAAAAAGAAAAAAAAAUUUACAAACAGGUUGAUCUUUUUUGGUAAAGAGUCACCUUUUAAUGUACAGUAUAAAGCUACUGAUGUGGACCAUGCUACUGAUGUGGAUGCAUGACCAUGUUUUUGAAUGGUCAUGCAUCAAUUUCUCAGUUGCCGCUGAGACAGGAGAAAUACCAACCCUAUCUCACGGCGAAUUCGUAAUAAUUCAAACGAUUUAACCAAGUGGCUAAAUCGUAUGAAAUCAUACGAGCUGGCUCGUACGAAAUCGUACGAUUAGUUCAUCGCAUGUAACACAGCCCUGUGUUGCAGGGAUUUCGUGCUAAUUAAUACGAAUAGAUUAAAUCGUACUAUACCAUACGAUUUUGUUAAUCGCAUUCAAGAAGCGUGACCCGUAGCCAGAAAAAACCUCUGGGUGUGCAUCUGAAAAUCUGCGUGUGUCACAUGCAGGCAAGAUGAGCAGAAACGCUGGGGACUUCAGGUGCUGUAAAUCCGUGGGACAGGACUCAUCUCGUUAUAGAUCAAGAUAAUUUAUAAAGAUCUUUAAACGAAUUAUUGGAAUAUCAGAUAGUUGACAUGGUAAGCAAGUUAGUUAAUAUUUUAAUUUAAAAAAGGAAAAACGAAAUAAAACGAAUAGAAUACAUUAUUGUUGUUGCGGUGUGUCACGUGACAAUCAUGACCCGUAGCCAUGGACACAAGGGGUCAGAUAAAAUAUUUUUAACUUACGCGUGAAAGGGUUUAUUUUAAAAAUAUAUAUAUAUAUUCUAAGUAAACAACAACAGCCCAAGUUUAGUAAAAAAAAUAUUGAAACUAUAAAUAAAUAUUCUGCAUCAAUUUUAGGUGUGCUACUGUGGGUGGCUCCGGCACACCCGUGGCUACGCCCCUGCCGUGACCCAAAUCUCGUUCGCACAUCAUCGCGAUAUGUAUCAUCUGUUUACAAACGUCGCCACUCGCUUCGUAAGAUGGAAUUACUGGGCUUCUCUCCGAUGCUCUAUUACAACGCAGAGAGGCCAGCAUCGCUCCACAAAAGUUUUUGUUAAAAACGUCAACGUUCAGAGGCAUCACUCAGUACCAGUCAUGCAGAGACUUUAUGAGGCUGUUGUAAGAGGUUAGCCUAUCCCUUGUAUGUCACUGAUGCACUACUUCAAAGAUGUGAGGACAAGAACAUACACCUGCGAGUAGUCUUAGACAUUGCCUGUGUUGUUGCCUUACAUUUGCAGAUCAAGUACAGUACCAGAUGGCUUGAUGGGUUUGGGCUCACAGACGGGGAAGGAAUGGAAAGGCUGUGGUCUUUCCUCCAAAGAUUUGCCAGAGUCACAAAGGAGAUGACUCCAUCUCAUCGCCUUGACUUACUGACUGAUGCCCUUUUGCAUUAUGGACGGAGGAAAUCAACUGACCUAGAGGUGCAGCUCCUGCAAAGAGUAGACAAAGCAGAGAAAAUAUUGAUUCUCGCUCCUCAAGAAGAUAUUUCAUCUGUCAUCAGAUAGGUACCAGGUAAACAAUGCACAUAAGAAGCAGGUAACAAUUAGUUGUAGAUGGGAGAAUAUUACAUUCCAUUUAUAAGUGCAAUUUGCACAAGAGUAUUUAGGAUUGAUGUGUGUCUUGUUUUCUGUUAUUGUUGUUGUAUAGUGUUGAUUUCUGAAGGAGACAUGGAGAGAUGGAAAAAAGCUAGCCCAACAGAAACCAAUAAAUAAGGAACUGAAGUUAAA